UACGGAGGGUGCAAGCGUUGUCCGGAUUUAUUGGGUUAAAGGGUGCGUAGGCGGGAGAUUAAGUCAGAGGUGAAAGACUGCAGCUCAACUGUAGCAGUGCCUUUGAUACUGAUUUUCUUGAGUACAGAUGAGGCUGGCGGAAUGGGUGGUGUAGCGGUGAAAUGCAUAGAUACAUCCAGAACACCGAUUGCGAAGCAGCCGGCUAAAACUGUCACUGACGCUGAGGCACGAAAAGCGUGGGGGAUCGAAACAGGG
rnacentral:rRNA from 1 species